AGCCCCAGGGAUUCCUACUUGGACCACAGCCUCCAAGGCUGCCCCGGGGCUAGGGAAUCACUGGCUGCUGGGCACAAUCCUUCUGGGUCCUCCCUUUGCUUCUUAGCCUGGUCAUAGGUCAUCUUGUCCCUAAUGUUGGCUCAUCCUGGAACCUGCAAUGAAGCCACAAAUCCUGGUUUCCCUGGAAUGGAGGAAGAGAACCCUUCAAGCUCCAGAGAGUGACAGAGGAGCCUCUGUGUCUGUCACCACUGAUGUCCUCUGUGUCCUGAAAUGCCUCCUCUGCUUCCCUCACUGGGAAUACCAGCCUCAAAUUUCAGGUCCCCUUAUAGCACGCUGUAUUGCCUGAGCUGAAGCAUUUGAUUCCUUGAUGUGGGGCAGAAGGGAAGACCGACCGGGCACUCAUUUUUUUAAUUAUCGUAGAAGUAUUUUGCAUAUUAGUAUUAUUAACAACCCAACCUAGCACAACACA